rfam:Anoxybacillus amylolyticus strain DSM 15939, complete genome.
GAACGCCGUAUGAGGGGAAACUCUCACGUACGGUGUGAAUGGGGGGAAAAACCAGAGAUGACUUCAAAGGUUUACCUAUCCAUAU